rnacentral:rRNA from 1 species
AUGAACGCUGGCGGCGUGCCUAAUACAUGCAAGUCGAGCGAACAGACGAGGAGCUUGCUCCUCUGACGUUAGCGGCGGACGGGUGAGUAACACGUGGAUAACCUACCUAUAAGACUGGGAUAACUUCGGGAAACCGGAGCUAAUACCGGAUAAUAUAUUGAACCGCAUGGUUCAAGAGUGAAAGACGGUUUUGCUGUCACUUAUAGAUGGAUCCGCGCCGCAUUAGCUAGUUGGUAAGGUAACGGCUUACCAAGGCAACGAUGCGUAGCCGACCUGAGAGGGUGAUCGGCCACACUGGAACUGAGACACGGUCCAGACUCCUACGGGAGGCAGCAGUAGGGAAUCUUCCGCAAAGGGCGAAAGCCUGACGGAGCAACGCCGCGUGAGUGAUGAAGGUCUUCGGAUCGUAAAACUCUGUUAUUAGGGAAGAACAAAUGUGUAAGUAACUAUGCACGUCUUGACGGUACCUAAUCAGAAAGCCACGGCUAACUACGUG